AUUUGGAAAAGGAAAGCAUGAGAAGCACACUACAGAGACUGAUCUAGAGAAGUUAUCACUGUGCUGGGUGGGAGUCAUUCAUCUGUCUGCUCUGGGAGUUACAGAUUCACAUGAAGUCCCAGGAUAGCUUCUGUCGGCUUUGGUGGCCUGUUGCAGCAGCCAGCAGCAGGAAACUUGAGGAGCUAUCAUCUCAGGAAUGAACGGGGCCACAUCAAUAAGGCCAGACACGGUGGCCCACGCCUGUAAUCCCAGCAC
rnacentral:lncRNA from 1 species